CCUACGGGAGGCAGCAGUGGGGAAUAUUGGACAAUGGGCGAAAGCCUGAUCCAGCCAUGCCGCGUGUGUGAAGAAGGCCUUCGGGUUGUAAAGCACUUUCAGUGGGGAAGAAAGCCUUGGGGCUAAUACCCUCGAGGAAGGACAUCACCCACAGAAGAAGCACCGGCUAACUCCGUGCCAGCAGCCGCGGUAAUACGGAGGGUGCGAGCGUUAAUCGGAAUUACUGGGCGUAAAGCGCGCGUAGGCGGUCUGAUAAGCCGGUUGUGAAAGCCCCGGGCUCAACCUGGGAACGGCAUCCGGAACUGUCAGGCUAGAGUGCAGUAGAGGAAGGUAGAAUUCCCGGUGUAGCAGUGAAAUGCGUAGAGAUCGGGAGGAAUACCAGUGGCGAAGGCGGCCUUCUGGACUGACACUGACGCUGAGGUGCGAAAGCGUGGGUAGCAAACAGGAUUAGAUACCCGAGUAGUC
rnacentral:rRNA from 1 species